ACACCCUCAAGCCCUGCUUGGUGUUGGGUGCCUGUCCCGCCCCGCGCGGCGACUCACCCCAAAUGCAUUGGCGGCGGCGCCUUGCCCCUCCCGCGCAGCACAUUGCGCUUCUCGAGGCGGCGGGACCGCGUUCCACGAAGCCGACAACCCGU
rnacentral:misc_RNA from 1 species